rnacentral:lncRNA from 1 species
AGAAUCAAUGUGAACUUCUUCACCAGCUUUAGAAGCUGUGCUGCUGUGGUUGUGGCCUUCAUGGCAACAAUGGACCCUGAGUACACAGGUGUGACUCACCAGGUGCACCAUAAAAGUCUCUUUAUCAACACACUGAUAGCAUCUUUUAUUUUCCUUCACUCAAUCAAGAGUCUUCUCUGCCAACAAUUAGUCAUGUUUUCAUCAAAAGCAAUGACUACCUAAAAGAAUACUGAUGUUCCACGGAACCUCAUCCUUCUUGCGUUUUCAUAGUUGUCAUGGGAAAUUAAGAUCAGAUUGGAGUCAUAGCCUAUAGCACAGGAAAUACACGAUUCAGAAAAUGGUACAGGAUAUUUUGCUUGUUGUUGCCAGAUAACUCUGAACUGCACACAUUUGCUAAGCAUUGCAGAACUGCUUUCGGCUGAAAGAGUUCGUGCUCCACAGACUUCUUUUUUUUAUGAUUGCCAGAGUCAUUGGAAGUAAAUUUUGAAUUGUGCUAAAGGAAGAUAACGAAGAUACUAUGUGGCAUUAGUCUCUUGUGUUUGACAGAAAAUUUCAUGCUUUUAAUUGAGAUCUUUGGGAAAAAUGGAAGUAAGUGACAGACAAAAAAUAACAACAAAAAAGGAUGCCAGAGGUGGAUAUUGCUGCAUGAAACCUUUGCUUUGUUGAUUAUUUGCAAAUUGCGUUCUAGUACUAUAUUAUCAUUUGUUAAAAGACACUGGAAAAUAAUCCAAUUUUUAAGUUUCGUAAAGAGUUUGAUGUUGUGGUGUAAUCCCCAACUGUAUUCAUUCUUCCCUCCACCCUUUCAGUAAUAGAAUCUCUCACAUUCUAGUUGGGCACACAGACCCCAUUUCUAAGGCCCCCUUGAAGCUAGGUCUGUGAUUAAAUUCUUGUCAAUGGGAUGUGAGCUGCCCUUUAAAAAGGAGCUUGUUGUCCAUAUUCUCUUUCACCCUUCUUGUGGGGUGGAGUGGAGAAGAGGUGAUGCAGAUGAGGACAGCCUGGGGAACAGUGGAGCCACAAGGCAGAAGGAUACACAUAAAAAAUGAAUCUGACUCUACAUAAAUUAGACCUUAACAAAAAAAUAGAAAAAAAUAUAGAAG